NGACCCAAUGGUGGCAUAGGGACCCCGCUAUGGGACAGCAGAGCCCCAGAGGGAUGCAAUGGUCGCACAUGGACGCCGCUAUGGGGCAGCAGACCCACAAAGCAACCCAAUGGUGGCAUAGGGACCCUGCUAUGGGGCAGCAGACCCCCUUAGGUCCCCAGUGACAACACAAGGACCCCGCUAUGGGGCAGCAGACCCCCAUAGGGACCCAACGGUGACACGGGGACCCCGCUAUGGGGCAGCAGACCCCCAGAGGGACCCAACGGUGGCACGGGGAGACCGCUAUGGGGCAGGAGACCCCCAGAGGGACCCAAUGGUGGCACGGGGACCCCGCUAUGGGGCAGCAGACCCCCAAAGGGACCGAAUGCUGGCACAGAGACCCCACUAUGGGGCAGCAGACCCCCAUAGGGAUGCAAUGAUAGCACAUGGACGCUGCUAUGGGGCAGCAGACCCCCAUAGAUGACCCAACGCUGGCACAGGGACCCCGCUAUGGGGCAGCAGACCCCAGAGGGUACCCAACGGUGGCAUAGGGACCCCGCUAUGGGGCAGCAGACCCCAGUGGUGGCAUAGGGACCCCGCUAUGGGGCAGCAGACCCCCAUAGGUGACCCAACAGCGACACAGGGACCCCGCUAUGGGGCAGCAGACCCCAGUGGUGGCACAGGGACCCCGCUAUGGGGCAGCAGACCCCCAUAGGUGACCCAACGGCGACAACGGGGACCCCGCUAUGGGGCAGGAAGCCCUCACCUGGGCGCAGCGCGGCAACGCGUCCUCCAGCACGGCGGCCGCCCGGCGUAGCCGGUCCCGGAUGCGUCCGUAUUCCUCCUGGGCAGCGGCGCAGCUCCCUUGCAGCGGGGCCGCCCCCUCGGGGCUCAGCUCCUGCAGCUGCGUCGCUGCGCGCUGCAGCUUGGCCAGCAGCGGGCGGUGCUCGGCCGCCGCCUCCCGCAGCUCCUGCGGGGGCAAUGAGGGGGUUGCUAUGGGGCAUGCGGGGCUGCGACGGGGCGGCCCGGGGCAUCGCGGUGCAUCCCAUGCAUCCCUGGCAUCCCAUGCAUCCCAUGCAUCCCGUUGCAUCCCAUGCAUCCCAUGCAUCCCAUGCAUCCUAGUGCAUCCCAUGCGUCCCAUGCAUCCCUUGCAUCCCCGGUAUCCCAUGCAUCCCGGUGCAUCCCCUGCAUCCCAUGAAUCCCCGGCAUCCCGGGGCAUCCCGGUGCAUCCCAUGCAUCUCAUGAACCCCCUGCACCCCGGUGCAUCUCAUGCAUCCCCUGCAUCCCGGUGCAUCCCAUGCAUCUCCUGCAUCCCAUGAAUCCCAUGCAUCCCGGUGCAUCCCCUGCAUCCCGGUGCAUCCCACGAAUCCCGGUGCAUCCCACGAAUCCCGGUGCAUCCCACGAAUCCCGGUGCAUCCCACGCAUCCCAUGCAUCCUAGUGCAUCCCAUGCAUCCUGGUGUAUCCCCAGUAUCCCCUGCAUCCUGGUGCAUCCCAUGCAUCCCCUGCAUCCCCUGCAUCCUGGUGCAUCCCAUGAAUCCCAGUGCAUCCCAUGCAUCCUUUGCAUCCUCCGUACCCCAUGCAUCCCGGUGCAUCCCAUGAAUCCCAUGAAUCCCCUGCAUCCUGGUGCAUCCUGGUGCAUCCCUUGCAUCCCCGGUAUCCCCUGCAUCCAGGUGCAUGCCCUGCAUCCCCUGCAUCCCCUGCAUCCCAUGAAUCCCCUGCAUCCCGGUGCAUCUCAUGCAUCCCUUGCUUCCCAUGAAUCCCCUGCAUCCCGGUGCAUCCCAUGAAUCCCAGUGCAUCCCAUGCAUCCUAGUGCAUCCCCUGCAUCCCACGUAUCCCAUGAAUC
ensembl:lncRNA